AUGCCUUUGGUUUACUGUAUUUGGGUAGUUUUCCUUGAAACCAGCAAAAGACACAACCUGAAACAGGCCAACUUCUUGCUAUCACGUUAUCGCAUACAGCAGUGUUCCUCUUCGUUCUGUCCUUCUGCGUUGUGUGGUGCUAAAGAUUGGAAAAAGCUCUGGGGAGUACAGCCAGACCUCUUUUAUCUGGCUUGCUUUUAUCCAAGAAAAAUUACCCAGCCUAUGGGAGCGGACCAUCAAAGUCACUCAUCUGUGAGCAGUUCGUUGUGGUGCUGGGAGACUGCGAGUUUUGGAAAACGUCUAUAUUGCACGAGGUACGUGGAGAUUGGUGGCUCUUGGGCUGUUUGGCCACGGCAGAUGAGGAAGCAGGCAGCGGGAAUGGAUGUGCACGGCAAAAAAGGGGCAGAGAGCACGAACCCUGCACCCAUUUAGCACGUCUUUGAAGGAGAGAGGAGGAAGGAGAAGAGGGGAAGGGGGCGCUGAGGAAUGAGACAGAAACGCCUGAGGGUGUGCUGCUAUUUGGGAAGAUUCAUCAGCUGGUGGUUUAGUAAGCUCAGCGAGAGCUCUGUUUGACCUCUGUACUUCUGGCUUUUUAUCCCCAUCUCUUCCUCCCCCGGCAGCUGCCGUAUAAGCAGGUUCUCCAGCGGCGUGGUGUGACAUCAGUCACCCAGAUUGUACAGUUGGGGCUGGGCAGGGGGCACGAGGAUGUGGUUGGGAGCAUGGGGAGGUUGCGAGAGAGCCUCAGGUCCCGCGGGCAGCUUGCUGCUGGCCACCCUAAUUAGUCUGCUUCACUAAACCUGUGUGCCUGUGAUGAGCUAGGGAUGCAAGCAGGCAAAGCUGGUGCAGAGAGGCAAUACCUCUUACUGGAUCAAUGAACAGCUGGGAAAAUAGACAAGCAUUUGGUCUGAAAGCAUCCGUUCCCUGUGUAAGUGAAAUCCAUUCCUUUGCUCCAUGCUGUAUAACACUAAGGCUGGUAGAUACUUGAAGGUCAGGUGCUCGUCUGUACUAGAACCAUGCAUUUAUUCAAUUUUAUGAUUCCAGUGCAGGAAAACAAACCAACUGGUAGGGAAAUCAUGAACAAUUAUACCCGUACAAUUAGGUACCCUGGGGUAAUUCCCCAUGUGACAACUGUGCUAGAAAGAGAGGCACUUUUAUUCUGAAGCAGUGACUGCUAAGGGAGCACUAGCAGCAGAACUAUAAUUAUCCGAUCAUUCCCAGUGUUGGCAAACCAAAAGAACGAAGGAAGUAAGGGAGAGGACAGAAAAGACAGGAAUGCAAAGAAGGCAGACAAGUGGUUAACCAGCGAUACCUGUGGGAAGAUGCGGGGCAACCAUCCUGUCUCGUGUGAACUUCAUUGGUCAAAAUCAAGGCUGUAGAAAGAAUCAGAUAAGAACUUUGUUUCAGGGUAAGAUUUUUUUUCUCAAACUCAGUUUUGAAGCAUUCUUCUGUCAGCUUAAUGUGGCCUAAUGGGUACGUAUUGAAUUUUUCCUUACAGUUUGUAAUGUGAAGAUUCUCGGUUAGGAGUUUAAUUAGGACUCGGUGCUGCCUUCCUUGUACAAAGAUCUGAAAUCUGAGGACUAUGAAAAACAUAUUAGGUCUCUACCUAGCUAUGAUUAUCUGCCUGAUCAACAACAAGGAUUUAUAUAUGGAAUGAAAGUAUCCUUCAGGGGCAGAGGGGGAUGGCAUGCAUAUACGCAUACAUUUAUCCAUAUUUUAGGCUGAAAUGCUCCUUGACAAGCCCAGAACAGGACACUACAUAUGCAUCCUUAACAACUGAAUGCACUGUAGUGGUUAGCAUACAACGUCUUCUCUUUACUGAAAUAUUUUAUCCCUGGCACAUGCCAUAAUUAUAAGCAAGCUGCUUAAUGAUGGCCUGUGCUCAUGCAAACUGUACCACUUAACUACUUGCAUUAAUAUUGUAGGAAGCCUCAGAUGCACGGGAUGAGCAGCCAUGGAGCUACAAGCAAGAAAAAAGCUCGACUAGUGGAAGAAGUAUCUAGGCAAUGAGUCGCCUCCUACAUUAGUGGGAUGAGCUUCCCUCUGGGAAUUUUUGCCUUCUGGAGAAACCUAAAUGAGAGAGAUACUCCACUGCCCCACACCCUUCUUCUCUUCAUGCACUGCUGCUGCUAAAGAGACUGUCAAGCUUCCUGUUGAGAUAAAGAGCUAUGCUUACAAUGUGUAGCCCCAAACCAGCGAGAUAACACGCUGCCGUUUGCUGUGUUAGGCAAUGCCAUUUCUGUAGCAGGGUGGUAUUUCUGAAUGGGGAGAUUCAAACAGGGAACUGAUCUGAGGGUGAGCGUGUGAGGAGUUUAAUCUAAGGGUUUGAGAUGUUCCGGAUGGUAAAGAGCAAUAUUGGGAGUUUUCAGAUCAUUUUCCACGUACUAGAGACUUUCAAAUAGAAUACACAACUAUAACUAAAUUCCAGUAUUUAUUUCAUCAUGAUAAUUGAAGGGAAAGCUUUAGUAUAAAAGAUGAUGCUAAAUGUACAAAAUAUUCCAUAAAUCUCUGUCUUUCUGAUGUCAUAGAUUGCCACUUUUCUUAGCUAUUUUAUUUAAAACUUUUCAAGUUCCCAUUAUGCUAUUUAUUAUUUCAUUGGGUUAUUUAGAUGUAAAGUGAUUUUUUUAAAAUUAUCUCCAACACAAGAAAUUUCUCAAAGUCAAAGUUUUAUUGAUCAGUAAUUUUCCAGCAGCCUCUCCUUACGUUUCAGCAGAUAACUCUGGACCAGGGCCAGCUGUUGUUUCCUGGCCUCAGUCCAAUUUUUUCCCUGAAAAUGAAUACCCAAAACGUUCAUCGUUCCCAUACCAUGGAAUCAAUGUGCAUAAUACAGAAAAAAUGUCAGGCUUUAUAAUGCGAUGCAGAAAAUUAAACUCUAGUUACUAUUCGUGAGUAGGUUUUCCUUCUUAGAAUGCAUAAUUUAAAAAAUAUGUUGUGGCUGCUAUUGUGGCUGUCACACUAUCCCAUACUGGAAUCUGUGUCAGAAUUAUAAAAAACUGCUAUAUGAGAAGAGAACCUGGGCAGAUAUUUUCCUAGAACAUGUCAGAAGCAAACUUUUUGUGAACAAAUGAAUAAAAUUAAUCCUUCUCAAGGCA
rnacentral:lncRNA from 1 species